UGAUUAGAAGCUUGCUUCUAUGACGUUAGCGGCGGACGGGUGAGUAACACGUGGGCAACCUGCCUGUAAGACUGGGAUAACUUCGGGAAACCGAAGCUAAUACCGGAUAGGAUCUUCUCCUUCAUGGGAGAUGAUUGAAAGAUGGUUUCGGCUAUCACUUACAGAUGGGCCCGCGGUGCAUUAGCUAGUUGGUGAGGUAACGGCUCACCAAGGCAACGAUGCAUAGCCGACCUGAGAGGGUGAUCGGCCACACUGGGACUGAGACACGGCCCAGACUCCUACGGGAGGCAGCAGUAGGGAAUCUUCCGCAAUGGACGAAAGUCUGACGGAGCAACGCCGCGUGAGUGAUGAAGGCUUUCGGGUCGUAAAACUCUGUUGUUAGGGAAGAACAAGUACGAGAGUAACUGCUCGUACCUUGACGGUACCUAACCAGAAAGCC
rnacentral:rRNA from 2 species